UGAAGCAGAGGACAGUGGCGGACGGGUGAGUAACGCGUGAGGAACCUGCCUUUCAGAGGGGGACAACAGUUGGAAACGACUGCUAAUACCGCAUGAUACAUUUGGGUGGCAUCAUCUGAAUGUCAAAGAUUUAUCGCUGAAAGAUGGCCUCGCGUCUGAUUAGCUAGUUGGUGGGGUAACGGCCCACCAAGGCGACGAUCAGUAGCCGGACUGAGAGGUUGACCGGCCACAUUGGGACUGAGAUACGGCCCAGACUCCUACGGGAGGCAGCAGUGGGGAAUAUUGGGCAAUGGGCGCAAGCCUGACCCAGCAACGCCGCGUGAAGGAAGAAGGCUUUCGGGUUGUAAACUUCUUUUAAGAGGGAAGAGCAGAAGACUGUACCUCUAGAAUAAGCCACGGCUAACUACGUGCCAGCAGCCGCGGUAAUACGUAGGUGGCAAGCGUUGUCCGGAUUUACUGGGUGUAAAGGGCGUGCAGCCGGGAAUGCAAGUCAGAUGUGAAAUCCAUGGGCUUAACCCAUGAACUGCAUUUGAAACUGUAUUUCUUGAGUACUGGAGAGGCAAUCGGAAUUCCUAGUGUAGCGGUGAAAUGCGUAGAUAUUAGGAGGAACACCAGUGGCGAAGGCGGAUUGCUGGACA
rnacentral:rRNA from 1 species